rnacentral:piRNA from 1 species
UCUGAGAGAGCAGAUUCUUCGGG